UACUAUUUAAGAAUUCUACUCUUGAUCCUUUAUAUAUAUAUAUAUAUAUAUAUAUAACCAACAUAAAAAUAGACCAUAUAAAAUGGCUAUAUCUACCUUGGCACCAAAAAAUCCUAGGAAGAAUAAUUCGGAGCUAAAGGUAGACGCACAUAUAUACAUACACACAAAACAGAAGAAUGAAUAUACAUAUAUAUGUACAUAAAUUAUCAAUUUUGCCUAACGAUAGAUCCCUUCAUCCACUCAUAUAUUUGGACCAAGGAAUUGGAAUAUUAGGCUGACUGGCCGAAUACCAACCGAACCAAAUUAUACACAAGAUAUAACAUAAACGAGAAAGGAAUAACAAAUAGAUCAGUACAAGUAUGAAUCGUCACCUCUGCCUUCGACUUUCUCAAAUUUAAACGACACCAUGAGGGCAUUAUAUAGACAGAAAAAAAGGGGGGUGGGUUACCACUUCCCACAAAUCCUAGCCAUUACUGUUAUGAAGACACAUCCAAGUUAACAUUAUAUAUUGCAAUCUAAACAAAUCUAUGAUAAUAUAGGCCAAUAAAAUGUUAUUUAAACAAAAUAAAUCACAACAAAGCUAUUACAAGAGUGGGAAUGGGAUGCCUCAGAGAUCUUGGUGAAUAAAAUUCAUCAGUAGGGAUAUCAAAACCACAUCAAGAGUAGCAAAUAUCUUUCUUACAUCACAGGUCAUAUACAUAAAAAACUUGAGGCCUUUAGUUGUAAAAAUAAUGUUAAAAGGUGGAAAAUAUAAAGAAAAAAAUUAAGAUAUUAAUGGAUGGACAAUGGCAAGAGUCAAGAAGUAGCUGGUAAGUAAACAUGGAAUAUUCAUUGGGAAUCCGAUUGAUUUUUUUCAUCAUCCCUGCCAUCAUAUCAUCAUCACAUCGUAAUAUAUAUAUAUAUAUAAUAUUUCUAUGCGUACACGUAAAUUGGACAAAAUAAAUAAAAAGAAUUUAUUACGAUCCAAUUACCCUUUCCAAUUUACAUGUGCAUAGAGUUAUUUAUUCAUAUAUAUAUAUAUAACCAAAAUAAAAUAAAAAAUAAAAAAAGAUCAUAUAAAAUGGCUAUAUCUACCUUGUCACCAAAAAAUCCUAGGAAGAAUAAUUCGGAGCUAAAAAUAGACGCACAUAUAUACAUAUACACAAAACAGAAGAAUGAAUAUAAAUAUAUAUGUACAUAAAUUAUCAAUUUUGCCUAACGAUGGAUCCCUUCAUCCACUCAUAUAUUUGGAACAAGGAAUUGCAAUAUUUGGCUAACUGGUCGAAUACCAACCCAACCAAAUUAAACACAAGAUAUAACAUAAACGAGAAAAGAAUAACUAAUAGAUCAGUACAAGUAUGAAUCUUCGCCUCAGCCUACGACUUUCUCAAAUUUACACGACAACAUGAGGGCAUUAUAUAGACAGAAAAAGAAGGGGGUGGGUUACAACUUCCCACAAAUCCUAGCCAUUACUGUUAUAAAGACACAUACAAGUUAACAUUAUAUAUUCCAAUCUAAACAAAUCUAGUAUAUGAUAAUAUAGGCCAAUAAAAUGUUAUUUAAACAAAAUAAAUCACAACAAAGCUAUUACAAGAGUGGGAAUGGGAAGCCACAGAGAUCUUGGUGGAUAAAAUUCAUCAAUUGGGAUAUCAAAACCCCAUCAAGAGUAGCAAAUAUCUUUCUUACAUCACAGGUCAUAUACAUAAAAAACUUGAAAACCUUGAAGCCUUUAGUUGUAAAAAUAAUGUUAAAAGGUGGAAAAUAUAGAGAAAAAAAUUAAGAUAUUAAUGGAUGGACAAUGGCAAGAGUCAGAAGUAGCUGGUAAAGUAAACAUGGAAUAUUCAUUGGGAAUCCGAUUGAUUUUUUUCAUCAUCCCUGCCAUCAUAUCAUCAUCACAUCGUAAUAUAUAUAUAUAUAAUAUUUCUAUGUGUACACGUAAAUUGGACAAAAAUUAUUACGAUCCAAUUACCCUUUCCAAUUUACAUGUGCAAAGAGUUAUUUAUUCAUAUAUAUAUAUAUAUAUAACCAAAAUAAAAUAUAAAAUAAAAAUAGACCAUAUAAAAUGGCUAUAUCUACCUUGUCACCAAAAAAUCCUAGGAAGAAUAAUUCAGAGCUAAAGUUAGACGCACAUAUAUACCUACACACAAAACAGAAGAAUGAAUAUACAUAUAUAUGUACAUAAAUUAUCAAUUUUGCCUAACGAUAGAUCCCUUCAUCCACUCAUAUAUUUGGACCAAGGAAUUGCAAUAUUAGGCUGACUGGCAGAAUACCAACCCAACCAAAUUAUAUACAAGAUAUAACAUAAACGAUAAAGGAAUAAUAAAUAGAUCAGAACAAGUAUGAAUCAUCGCCUCUGCCUUCGACUUUCUCAGAUUUACACGACACCAUAAGGGCAUUAUAUAGACAGAAAAAGAGGAGGGUGGGUUACCACUUCCCACAAACCCUAGCCAUUAUUGUUAUGACAACACAUCCAAGUUAACAUUAUGUAUUCCAAUCUAAACAAAUCUAGUAUAUGAUAAUAUAGGCCAAUAAAAUAUUAUUUAAACAAAAUAAAUCACAACAAAGCCAUUACAGGAGUGGGAAUGGGAGGCCUAAGAGAUCUUGGUGGAUAAAAUUCAUCAAGUGGGAUAUCAAAACCCCAUCAAGAGUAGCAAAUAUCUUUCUUACAUCACAGGCCAUAUACAUAAAAAACUUAAAGCCUUUAUUUGUAAAAAUGAUGUUAAAAGGUGGGGAAAAGAAGAAAAAAAAAUUAAGAUAUUAAUGGAUGGACAAUGGCAAGAGUCAGAAGUAGCUGGUAAGUAAACAUGGAAUAUUCAUUGGGAAUCCGAUUGAUUUUUUUCAUCAUCCCUGCCAUCAUAUCAUCAUCACAUCGUAAUAUAUAUAUAUAUAUAAUAUUUCUAUGCGUACACAUAAAUUGGACAAAAAAAUUAUUACGAUCCAAUUACCCUUUCCAAUUUACAUGUGCAUAGAGUUAUUUAUUCAUAUAUAUAUAACCAAAAUAAAAUAAAAAUAAAAAUAGACCAUAUAAAAUGGCUAUAUCUACCUUGUCACCAAAAAAUCCUAGGAAGAAUAAUUCAGAGCUAAAGGUAGACGCACAUAUAUACAUACACACAAAACAGAAGAAUGAAUAUACAUAUAUAUGUACAUAAAUUAUCAAUUUUGCCUAAAGAUAGAUCCCUUCAUCCACUCAUAUAUUUGGACCAAGGAAUUGCAAUAUUAGGCUGACUGGCAGAAUACCAACCCAACCAAAUUAUAUACAAGAUAUAACAUAAACGAUAAAGGAAUAAUAAAUAGAUCAGAACAAGUAUGAAUCAUCGCCUCUGCCUUCGACUUUCUCAGAUUUACACGACACCAUAAGGGCACUAUAUAGACAGAAAAAGAGGAGGGUGGGUUACCACUUCCGACAAACCCUAGCCAUUAUUGUUAUGACGACACAUCCAAGUUAACAUUAUGUAUUCCAAUCUAAACAAAUCUAGUAUAUGAUAAUAUAGGCCAAUAAAAUAUUAUUUAAACAAAAUAAAUCACAACAAAGCCAUUACAGGAGUGGGAAUGGGAGGCCUCAGAGAUCUUGGUAGAUAAAAUUCAUCAAAUGGGAUAUCAAAACCCCAUCAAGAGUAGCAAAUAUCUUUCUUACAUCACAGGCCAUAUACAUAAAAAACUUGCCUUUAUUUGUAAAAAUGAUGUUAAAAGGUGGGGAAAAGAAAAGAAAAAAAUUAAGAUAUUAAUGGAUGGACAAUGGCAAGAGUCAGAAGUAGCUGGUAAGUGAACAUGGAAUAUUCAUUGGGAAUCCGAUUGAUUUUUUUCAUCAUCCCUGCCAUCAUAUCAUCAUCACAUCGUAAUAUAUAUAUAAUAUUUCUAUGCGUACACGUAAAUUGGACAAAAUAAAUAAAAAGAAUUUAUUACGAUCCAAUUACCCUUUCCAAUUUACAUGUGCAUAGAGUUAUUUAUUCAUAUAUAUAUAUAUAACCAAAAUAAAAUAAAAAAUAAAAAAAG
rnacentral:lncRNA from 1 species